rnacentral:rRNA from 1 species
GACGAACGCUGGCGGCGUGCCUAAUACAUGCGAGUAGAACGCUGAAGGAGGAGCUUGCUUCUCUGGAUGAGUUGCGAACGGGUGAGUAACGCGUAGGUAACCUGCCUGGUAGCGGGGGAUAACUAUUGGAAACGAUAGCUAAUACCGCAUAAGAGUAGAUGUUGCAUGACAUUUGCUUAAAAGGUGCAAUUGCAUCACUACCAGAUGGACCUGCGUUGUAUUAGCUAGUUGGUGAGGUAACGGCUCACCAAGGCAACGAUACAUAGCCGACCUGAGAGGGUGAUCGGCCACACUGGGACUGAGACACGGCCCAGACUCCUACGGGAGGCAGCAGUAGGGAAUCUUCGGCAAUGGAUGGAAGUCUGACCGAGCAACGCCGCGUGAGGGAAGAAGGUUUUCGGAUCGUAAAGCUCUGUUGUAAGAGAAGAACGAGUGUGAGAGUGGAAAGUUCACACUGUGACGGUAUCUUACCAGAAAGGGACGGCUAACUACGUG